rnacentral:lncRNA from 1 species
AUAUAGGCAAUUGAAUGACUUGUUACAGGAGACGGCGCAGUGCACUAUCUCGAGUGGGUUUGUCAAUGGAGCUUAUCUUAUCAACCUGAUAAGAUCAGCUUUUGUUUGAUAAAGUACUCUGAAUGAGUUGUCCGUUUCAUUAAGUGUGUCUUGUUUCUGUCCCGACUCGAACUAUUUCUUUUUCGAUUCUUUACCAGUUUCAUUGUCAGCCGAGUGAAAUUCAACUAGCGGAGCUGCGAUGAGCACAUUGGAAACCGAACCGGCGGCGCCAGGUGUACGAACCGAGAGCGAAAAUUGCAGCGUUCAACACUUGUUUAGCAGAGUCAAACUUGCAAAAAAGCCCGAAAUCGAUUAGUUCCGAAGAGAUAUAGGCAUUAAUUAAGAUAUGGACGUAUUAAUUAAAGGUUUCGAGCGGGGUUUGGGCGGAGCCGGGCUAUCAUUUACACAACGCUAAGGACCGACUAUCCUGCAGAAAGGCAUUCGCGAGACCACCCAGAAACCGCUCGAGAGGAUGGUUUUUGAUCUAAAUAUUAAUAUCAGUCGAAACUUUCAGACGCACAAAUACUGGUUGUACCGACGAAAUAUUCCCUGUCGCAACAAAAUACCUCCGGUUAUCAAAAUGUCAUCGAAAUGAGAAAACUUCUGCCUUUUUACGAAAAACAAGAAACAAAACAAAAAAAAACAAAAAAAAAGAAAACUUGAAGUUAUUACCGUGUACAAUUUCUAAUCGUCGCCAGUCGUUCCUUCAUGAUGAGACUGUAUGAGCUCCCCGUGAAAAUCUGCCA